rnacentral:lncRNA from 1 species
CCAACUCAGGGAAAGGCCCAAUCGCCCCAAAAGACUAGUCCAAUGGGGGAAGGGUGGCUCUCCCUUUUAAAGUGGCUUCCUCCUCCCAAGUUAAGCGAGGUGGGAUAAUUCUGAGGCUCACACGGUCGCCGUCCGACUACAAUUGGGCCAAUUGCGUCUUUGCCAACGGGUAAUAGUGGAGGAUGUCCUCAUCAUUCCCACCUUCUUAAAAUGGGCCCUAGCUUUGAUACCAGAUGAUACACCCAGCCCAGGUGGGGUUGGCCGAGGCCCAACAAAUUAGGGUUGCCCGGAGCCCAACAGUUCAUUAAGCACACCCAACUCAGGGAAAGGCCCAAUCGCCCCAAAAGACUAGUCCAAUGGGGGAAGGGUGGCUCUCCCUUUUAAAGUGGCUUCCUCCUCCCAAGUUAAGCGAGGUGGGAUAAUUCUGAGGCUCACACGGUCACCGUCCGACUACAUUUGGGCCAACUGGGCCAAUUGCGUCUUUGCCAACGGGUAAUAGUGGAGGAUGUCCUCAUCAUUCCCACCUUCUUAAAAUGGGCCCUAGCUUUGAUACCAGAUGAUACGCCCAGCCCAGGUGGGGUUGGCCGAGGCCCAACAAAUUAGGGUUGCCCGGAGCCCAACAGUUCAUUAUGCACACCCAACUCAGGGAAAGGCCCAAUCGCCCCAAAAGACUAGUCCAAUGGGGGAAGGGUGGCUCUCCCUUUUAAAGUGGCUUCCUCCUCCCAAGUUAAGCGAGGUGGGAUAAUUCUGAGGCUCACACGGUCGCCGUCCGACUACAAUUGGGCCAAUUGCGUCUUUGCCAACGGGUAAUAGUGGAGGAUGUCCUCAUCAC